UACAGAGGGUGCGAGCGUUAAUCGGAAUUACUGGGCGUAAAGCGUGCGUAGACGGUCAAGUAAGUCGGGUGUGAAAGCCCCGGGCUCAACCUGGGAAUUGCAUUCGAUACUGUCGAGCUAGAGUAUCGGAGAGGUUGGUGGAAUUCUCGGUGUAGAGGUGAAAUUCGUAGAUAUCGAGAGGAACACCGGUGGCGAAGGCGGGUCUCUGGGCCGAUACUGACGCUGAGGAGCGAAAGCGUGGGGAGCGAACAGG
rnacentral:rRNA from 1 species